CCAGGCUCAUGGAGAUCUCAAGAACUGAAUUUGGGUCAUCAGGAUUGGUGGUACAAUUAUUAUGUAUCAAACUAUAAAAAGAAAGCAAGCAGCUUGAGACGACAUCACAGGUCCCCGGGCGUGAAGAGCUCCAAAUCAAACCUAUUGUACAGGAGGCGGCGGUGCACGAAGGCGUUUGCUGCUGCUUUCGAUGCAAAGACUAAAAGAGAAAUACAAACAGAUUUCAAACACAAUUAAGCUAAGGCAGAAGCUUCCUGUUUUAACUGGAGGAAAAAACCAUUCUCUUGAUAUGGAGGCCCAAAAAUGUGAACCUUUUUCCACCUUGUCUGAUGGUCAGAGAGUUUGGAGGUGGCUCAAUAUUUAACAACAAUCAGGACUACACAUCCUGACUCGGGAUGUGGUUACUUGGUUCUUUUGACAUUAAGAUGGCCCAUACAGUGGAAAUUUCCAGAAGCUAUUUGACAUGCAAUGAUAUCAUCACUCUGCUAACGAAUAAAACACCAGUGGAUGAAUGCUUGUGAUUUUUAGUACCUCUCAUUCUACCAGUGUUUUAGGUUCUCUCCUAGACUCUGGCCACCUGUGGAGCUGGGCCAGAUGCUCCGAUGCUCAUCUCACACAGAGGGACAGCAAAGCGUGGAGAAGUGAAUGUGAGGAGCCGGGGUCUUGACUCUUUCCAGUGCUUGCUUUGAAUUAUUAAGCAAUGAGGGCUAUGGGCAAAGAAUUAUUUAAUUUCCAAGGAAAUAAGAGAAAACAAAAACAGAGCCAUGCAAUUAAUGGACUUGGUUGAUGCGCUGGUGCAGCUCUGGGUUUGAGCACAUCACGCCCACCCACUCAUCUCUGUGAAUUCAGGAAUGAAAUGGAAGCUGGCUCCUGUGUGGGUGUGAGGAUGCACUCAGGGCUGUGACAGGAAACGCUUAGGUCAUGGUCAUGAAGCUCUUCGGUGUAAGGUCGCAUCCACGUCCUUCGAGACACACGGCUGACUGUAGCAAUGGACUGUUUGGAAUAGGAGAGGAACUGAACGUAUGCUCUGUGACAUUUAGCCUUGACAUUUCAACAGCAACUGACUGUGGUUUUAAUUUAUCCCAGUAAAAUCAGUAAGCAGAAAAGAAAUGACUCCUACUUCUCGACAUUAAUUGUGUAUCCGGGUGCAGGUAUUUUCCAGAGCUAUUGCAUAGGGGCUAAAGAGUCUAUUUUAAACAUUUGCCGGGAGCCCUCUUGGGAAACUUUUGACACAGUUUAGAUAUAAUUUCAUCAUUGAAGAGCAGUGAUCAUUAAUAGGAAAACAAUAAGAUCAAGCACCCCGAGAAAUGCCAUCUAUUUCCUCUCAUGCUAUGGACCAUUAUGA